UACGUAGGGGGCAAGCGUUGUCCGGAAUCAUUGGGCGUAAAGCGUGCGUAGACGGUUAUUUAAGUCAGGUGUGAAAGCCCAGGGCUCAACCUUGGAAUUGCAUUUGAGACUGAAUAGCUAGGGUGCGGAAGAGGGAAGCGGAAUUUCCGGUGUAGCGGUGAAAUGCGUAGAUAUCGGAAGGAACACCAGUGGCGAAAGCGGCUUCCUGGUCCAGCACCGACGUUCAGGCACGAAAGCGUGGGGAGCAAACAGG
rnacentral:rRNA from 1 species